CCUACGGUAGGCAGCAGUGAGGAAUAUUGGUCAAUGGACGCAAGUCUGAACCAGCCAUGCCGCGUGCAGGAAGACGGCUCUAUGAGUUGUAAACUGCUUUUGUACGAGGGUAAACGCAGAUACGCGUAUCUGUCUGAAAGUAUCGUACGAAUAAGGAUCGGCUAACUCCGUGCCAGCAGCCGCGGGAAUACGGAGGAUUCCAGCGUUAUCCGGAUUUAUUGGGUUUAAGGGGUGCGUAGGCGGUCGGAUAAGUUAGAGGUGAAAUCCCGAGGCUCAACUUCGGAAUUGCCUCUGUUACUGUUCGGCUAGAGAGUAGUUGCGGUAGGCGGAAUGUAUGGUGUAGCGGUGAAAUGCUUAGAGAUCAUACAGAACACCGAUUGCGAAGGCAGCUUACCAAGCUACUUCUGACGUUGAGGCACGAAAGCGUGGGGAGCAAACAGGAUUAGAUACCCGGGUAGUC
rnacentral:rRNA from 1 species